AACGAACGCUGGCGGCAUGCCUAACACAUGCAAGUCGAACGAGACCUUCGGGUCUAGUGGCGCACGGGUGCGUAACGCGUGGGAACCUGCCCUUAGGUUCGGAAUAACUCCCCGAAAGGGGUGCUAAUACCGGAUAAUGUCUUCGGACCAAAGAUUUAUCGCCUUUGGAUGGGCCCGCGUUGGAUUAGCUAGUUGGUAGGGUAAAAGCCUACCAAGGCGACGAUCCAUAGCUGGUCUGAGAGGAUGAUCAGCCACACUGGGACUGAGACACGGCCCAGACUCCUACGGGAGGCAGCAGUGGGGAAUAUUGGACAAUGGGCGAAAGCAUGAUGCAGCAAUGCCGCGUGAGUGAUGAAGGCCUUAGGGUUGUAAAGCUCUUUUAACCGGGAUGAUAAUGACAGUACCGGGAGAAUAAGCUCCGGCUAACUCCGUG
rnacentral:rRNA from 1 species